rnacentral:rRNA from 1 species
CAGUAGCCGCGGUAAUACGUAGGUGGCAAGCGUUGUCCGGAAUUAUUGGGCGUAAAGGGCUCGCAGGCGGUUUCUUAAGUCUGAUGUGAAAGCCCCCGGCUCUACCGGGGAGGGUCAUUGGAAACUGGGAAACUUGAGUGCAGAAGAGGAGAGUGGAAUUCCACGUGUAGCGGUGAAAUGCGUAGAGAUGUGGAGGAACACCAGUGGCGAAGGCGACUCUCUGGUCUGUAACUGACGCUGAGGAGCGAAAGCGUGGGGAGCGAACAGGAUUAGAUACCCCCGUAGUCCCUGUCUCUUAUAC